GAGGGGAUAGCUCAGUGGUAGAGCAUGUGCUUAGCAUGCAUGAGGUCCUGGGUUCAGUCCCCAGUCCCUCCA
rnacentral:tRNA from 1 species